AGAGUUUGAUCAUGGCUCAGAUUGAACGCUGGCGGCGUGCCUAACACAUGCAAGUCGAGCGGUAACAGGUGUAGCAAUACAUGCUGACGAGCGGCGAACGGGUGAGUAAUGCUUUGGAAUCUUCCCAGUAGUGGGGAAUAACCAGUCGAAAGAUUGGCUAAUACCGCAUACGUCUGUAAAGGGAAAGCGGGGGCUCGUAAGACCUCGCGCUAUUGGAUGAGCCAAAGUCGGAUUAGCUAGUUGGUGGGGUAAUGGCCUACCAAGGCGACAAUCCGUAGCUGGUCUGAGAGGACGACCAGCCACACCGGAACUGAGACACGGUCCGGACUCCUACGGGAGGCAGCAGUGGGGAAUAUUGGACAAUGGGGGAAACCCUGAUCCAGCGACGCCGCGUGUGUGGAGAAGGCCUGCGGGUUGUAAAGCACUUUUAGUGGGGACAAAAAGCUACGGAUUAAUACUUCGUGGUCUUGAUUUAACCCAAAGAAAAAGCACCGGCUAACUCUGUGCCAGCAGCCGCGGUAAUACAGAGGGUGCGAGCGUUAAUCGGAAUUACUGGGCGUAAAGCGCGCGUAGACGGUUUUGUAAGUCAGAUGUGAAAUCCCUGGGCUCAACCUGGGAACUGCAUUUGAAACUGCAUGGCUAGAGUAUGGAAGAGGGAAGUGGAAUUUCCGGUGUAGCGGUGAAAUGCGUAGAUAUCGGAAGGAACACCAGUGGCGAAAGCGACUUCCUGGUCCAAUACUGACGUUCAUGUGCGAAAGC
rnacentral:rRNA from 1 species